rnacentral:lncRNA from 1 species
GAGACCCCCGGCGGCCCGGCCCUGCGGGGACCGGGCGGGAUGGGGACCGGGGCAGUGGACCCUCGGAGUUGGGAUGGGGCGGGGGGAACGCGGGCGUGGAGCCCUCCGGGGACAGGUGGACAGCGGGGACUGGAGACCUCCAGGUGAGGAAGGGGAACGAAGUCAAGAAGGCCACAUGUCCUGGCUUCCAGGCUUGGUGUCCUCAGAAGCCUCCAGAACGUCCAUGGAACCCGCCCCUGCGCCCACCGCCUCCUGCUGUCUUUCCAGCUGAGUUCCGGCUGCCCCUCACCCUCGGCUUCUUCACUCUGCCUCUCCCCAGCCAGCGCCCUGCUCCCCGGUCCUCAACCACCACCUUCCACCUGCCUGGGCCUUCAUCGCCUCCGAGCUCCCCUUCCACACCAAACCUGGCGUCCGUUUUCCUCCAGGCCUGCACCAGCACAGCUGAAGGGGAGAGAGACCCAACCUCAUCCACUGGGCCUCCCCUCAACCAGGGCCACAACCUCAAGGGGCCAUGCCACCUCCAACACCUAUUUCCCACCUUCUACUCUCUCCACACCCUGGGACACCACCCGCCUCUCUCAGCUGACGUUUUCCUUCUUGUUUUGUGUGCAUGGUGCUUGUGUGAGAAAGUGGACACACAGUAAGUGCGGCUUCCAGAUGCGUCCGCCACCUGCCCUCCGUGCCACGCGCUUCCCCCUACCUAGGGGAGCCUCCACCAGACAGGGAACCCACGCCUUGCCACCCUUCUCUCUCCCUCCCACUUCACCUGUCCGCAUCAUUUCUGGAGCCCUUUCUUUCUGGCACGAGAUGCUCCAGGGCCCUGUUGUAUUCUCCCUGCCCCAGCCUGAACCCAGCUAUUUCUGCUGCAGCCUGGUUCAUUGUGGGAGAAUGUCAUGCAGAGCCCGGGAUCUGGCUCCGGAUGUGCUCAUUGCUACUGGGGUGUCAUUGCAGCUGGCGGAGCAAGGGAACACAUCUAUGUACAUGCCCACACGCAUAUGUAUACACACAGUUUCAUGGG